GCCCGGGUGGCGAAAUUGGUAGACGCAACGGACUUAAAAUCCGUUGACCUUUGGGUCGUGCGGGUUCAAGUCCCGCCCCGGGCACCA
rnacentral:tRNA from 1 species